UCAGACGAUGCGUCAUGCAUAUCAAUAAGCGGAGGAAAAGAAACUAACAAGGAUUCCCCUAGUAACGGCGAGUGAAGCGGGAAGAGCUCAAAUUUGAAAUCUUAAAGGGUUUCCCUUUACGAAUUGUAGUUUAAAGAAGUGUUUUCUGCUGAGGUUUUGGUAAAAGUUCUUUGGAAUAGGACAUCAUAGAGGGUGAGAAUCCCGUAUUUGACCUUUACUUUCAACUUUGUGAUACACUUUCAAAGAGUCGGAUUGUUUGGGAAUGCAGUCCAAAAUGGGUGGUAAAUUUCAUCUAAAGCUAAAUAUUGGCGAGAGACCGAUAGCGAACAAGUACCGUGAGGGAAAGAUGAAAAGAACUUUGAAAAGAGAGUUAAACAGUACGUGAAAUUGUCAAAAGGGAAGCGUUUGACACCAGUGUUGUUUUUCUGAAAAUCAAUUAAAGAACUGUUUAUGCUAAGCUGUUUAGACUUUAUCAGCUAUCUGUUUAGUUUUGAGCUUUUCUUUAAUGCACUUUUCAGUUAACAAGUCAACAUCAAUUUCUUUUGCUGUAAAAAAGCUUGAGGAAGGUGGCUUGAGAUUCGUCUUAAGUGUUUAUAGCCUCUUGCCUAUGCAGUCGGAGAGAUUGAGGUCUGCAGCGUAGAUCCUUCGGGGCUAAAUGCAUUUGUGCUAAGUUAUAGCAUUUCAUAGACAACUUGUUGACUAUGAUUUGUCUUGUAGCUUACUCGCUUAUGUUAUUUUACCUACGCUUAGGAUGUUGAAUCUGUGCGAGACUAC
rnacentral:rRNA from 1 species